UGGUUGUACUGAAAUUUUAACUCAUGGCC
rnacentral:piRNA from 1 species